GACCCUACAUGUGUAGGAUAGGUGGGAGGCUUUGAAGCACGUACGCCAGUAUGUGUGGAGCCGUCCUUGAAAUACCACCCUUGUAGUGUUGAUGUUCUAACGUCGACCCCUUAUCGGGGUUGCGGACAGUGCCUGGUGGGUAGUUUGACUGGGGCGGUCUCCUCCCAAAGAGUAACGGAGGAGCACGAAGGUGGGCUAAUCACGGUUGGACAUCGUGAGGUUAGUGCAAUGGC
rnacentral:rRNA from 1 species